UCAAUCUCGUGCGGCUAUAUAUACCGCCGGUCCCUCUAAGAAGAUUCAUAUGAGUACGCCGGUAGUGAAAGUCGCUCGCGACGCACACCGAUACGCNNNACGCACGCCGACGCAACGCACCGGCAUAACGCACGCGAAAUACCCUCUUGAUACCGGUAGCACGUCUAUUUAAUAGGCUAGAGUUACGUUCGUUAC
rnacentral:rRNA from 1 species